rnacentral:rRNA from 1 species
AGCUCCAACAGCGUAUAUUAAAGCUGUUGCGGUUGAAAGCUCGUAGUUGGAUUUCUGCUGAGGACUGCCGGUCCGCCCUCUGGGUGAGCAUCUGGCUUGGCCUGAGCAUUUUCUUGGAGAGCGUGGCUGCGCUUGACUGCGUGGUGCGGCAGACUGUUACCUUGAGGAAAUUAGCGUGUUUCAAGCAGGCAUGCGUCCUGGAUACUUUGGCAUGGAAUAAUGUGAAAAGGCACUGGCUCUGUUUUGUUGGUUUCCAGAGCUGAGGCAAUGAUUAACAGGGACAGUUAGGGGCAAUCGUAUCUAACUGUCAGAGGUGAAAUUCUUGGAUUUGUUAAAGACGAACCACUGCGAAAGCAUUUGCCAAGGAUGUCUUCG